CAGCAGCCACGGGAAUACCGAGGGUGCAAGCGUUAAUCGGAAUUACUGGGCGUAAAGCGCGCGUAGGUGGUUUGUUAAGUUGGAUGUGAAAUCCCCGGGCUCAACCUGGGAACUGCAUCCAAAACUGGCAAGCUAGAGUAUGGUAGAGGGUGGUGGAAUUUCCUGUGUAGCGGUGAAAUGCGUAGAUAUAGGAAGGAACACCAGUGGCGAAGGCGACCACCUGGACUGAUACUGACACUGAGGUGCGAAAGCGUGGGGAGCAAACAGGAUUAGAGACCCGAGUAGUCCCUGUCUCUUAUAC
rnacentral:rRNA from 1 species